rnacentral:rRNA from 1 species
CAGUCGCCACGGUAAUACGAAGGGGGCUAGCGUUGCUCGGAAUUACUGGGCGUAAAGGGAGCGUAGGCGGAUGAAUUAGUCAGGGGUGAAAUCCCGGGGCUCAACCUCGGAACUGCCUUUGAUACUGUUCAUCUUGAGUAUGGGAGAGGUGUGUGGAACUCCGAGUGUAGAGGUGAAAUUCGUAGAUAUUCGGAAGAACACCAGUGGCGAAGGCGACACACUGGCCCAUUACUGACGCUGAGGUGCGAAAGCGUGGGGAGCGAACGGGAUUAGAUACCCCUGUAGUCCCUGUCUCUUAUAC